UACGGGGGGAGCAAGCGUUGUUCGGAUUUACUGGGCGUAAAGGGCGCGUAGGCGGCCAGGGCAUGUCAGUUGUGAAAUCUCCGGGCUUAACUCGGAACGGUCAACUGAUACUGCGCGGCUAGAGUGCAGAAGGGGCAACUGGAAUUCUCGGUGUAGCGGUGAAAUGCGUAGAUAUCGAGAGGAACACCUGCGGCGAAGGCGGGUUGCUGGGCUGACACUGACGCUGAUGCGCGAAAGCCAGGGGAGCGAACGGG
rnacentral:rRNA from 1 species